UUUUUCCCAUGGAAAAAUGAUGAGAGAACAAAUAACAGAUGACAGGUGUGUAGUCAUGUCACUUAAUGCACUACUGGAAGGUACUCAGAUACUAUGGUGAA